AUACGUAGGUGACAAGCGUUAUCCGGAUUUACUGGGCGUAAAGGGCGUGUAGGCGGUCUUGCAAGUCAGAAGUGAAAUUCCUGAGCUCAACUCGGGCGCUGCUUCUGAAACUGCAGGACUUGAGUGCUGGAGGGGAUAGCGGAAUUCCUAGUGGAGCGGUAAAAUGCGCAGAUAUUAGGAGGAACACCGGUGGCGAAGGCGGCUAUCUGGACAGUAACUGACGCUGAGGCGCGAAAGCACGGGGAGCAAACAGGAUUAGAUACCCUGGUAGUCCGUGCCGUAAACGAUGAAUACUAGGUGUAGGGGGUAUCGACUCCCUCUGUGCCGCAGUUAACACAUUAAGUAUUCCACCUGGGGAGUACGGCCGCAAGGUUGAAACUCAAAUGAAUUGACGGGG
rnacentral:rRNA from 1 species